UAUCUGAUUGAUGUCUUAAUCACAUUUUUAAGUCCUAUUUUACCAGCAACAAUGGCUAGGCCUUUGGAAAAAAUCAAGAACCUCAAUGGUUCCAAAUCUCUGUGGAAAAUUGAUGUUCGAGUUGUUGAUUUGUGGACUGUUACUAAUUCAAAGAGCAAACAACAUAUUGAGAUGGUGUUGUGUGACAAAGAGGGUGAUCGAAUUCAAGUAAUUUUGCCAACUGAAUUCAAAGAUAAGUUUAAGAGUAGAAUUGCUGAGAACGCUACUUUCACUCUGCAAGACUUUGAGGUAGAGAAAAAUGAUAUGACCAUCAAAGUAACUGAUCAUCAAUUUAGGUAGGUGUUUAAUGGUGGAACAAGUGUUGACAAACAUGACAUACCUAGACCAUCAUUCAGUUUCAAGGAGUUUGAUGAGAUCAAGAAGGGAAUAGUAAGGCCAGAUGUCCUUAUAGAUGUCAUUGGAGUAUUUCAUGAAUUAGGAUACACUCAAACUGUACCUGGAUCUAGGAAAAUACAAAUCAACUUCUGGAUGAAAGACCUAAAGUAAGUUUUUAUUCCUAUAAUGAUUUAGAAGUCAUUGCGGUUUACUCAAAAAAAUUAAUCCAUUUUCUAUCGAUGUACAGGGGAACAUUAUUAAACUGUACACUGUGGGAAGACUAUGGUCUUCAAUUCCUAAAGUCCAAAUCUGAUUCUGGACCAAUUGUCAUUCUUCUUCACAAUUCUAAAAUUAAGGAAGCCACAAGUUAUUUAUAAUUAACCAGUCAAUUAGUAAUAAUCUACUAAUUCAACACAUAACUGUUUUUGCCAAUACAACUUAUCAUCGUGAUGAGUCAAUAAUUAGUUUUUUUAAUAUAAUAUUUGAGUCCGUUUUAUUUAGAUUUAAGUUUAUUUUAUUUAAGUUUAUUUCCUUUUUAGAAUUAUUUUACUUCAAUUGCAAGUUAAUUAAUUUCAGGAAAAAAUAUUCUAAAGAUUGAGUCUUGGGAGCAAAAGAAAGGGAAUUGGAGCUGAUUCGGAACGAAAAUACGAAGAUUCGGUGCAAAAAUAUAACACCCCCCCAAGUCAGAGAGCUGGCACGGCCCGUGCCACCAGCCACACGGUCGUGCCAUCCUUUAGGAUCCUCUUUUGCUGCUUUUUGCUUCAUGGACAAGCUACCUAUUAGUUUACUUCUGGCCUAAAAGCCCAUGGCUUCUUAUGAAACAUUCUAGUGAUGUAUUUCUUAGGGCUUAAGUCAUUGUAAAUUAUAAAUAGAGUAGCUAGCUAUC